AGAGUUUGAUCCUGGCUCAGAACGAACGCUGGCGGCAGGCUUAACACAUGCAAGUCGAACGCGUGUAGCAAUACACGAGUGGCGCACGGGUGAGUAACGCGUGGGAACAUCCCUUUCAGUUCGGAAUAACAGCGGGAAACUGCUGCUAAUACCGGAUAUUCUCUACGGAGGAAAGAUUUAUCGCUGAAAGAUUGGCCCGC
rnacentral:rRNA from 1 species